AGACCCCUCCGCCGAUGCCAGACAUUUCUGCGGUUGGAACGAAUAGCUCCCGAGCCGCAUCGCACGACCCUUCUCCAGGGCAAUCUUCUUCAGGUGAACCCGCCCCUAGCAACCCCGGUGAUUCACAUCCUUGAUGAUGACGACGGAAAAAUCUUUGAAGAAGAAACUAUUGUUGAAGGCGAAACCAUCCGUUCAAGCAGGUGGCCAUGUACAAGUUCGUAUGCGAACCCAGUUAAUUUUCUCCCGGACAAGAACAGCCAUGAGAGGAGGGAUUCUCCAUCUUCAGCAGCAGAUUCCUCUGCCAAGAACGAUUCUCCACUGUGGUAGCUGAAGCUUCACCAAGGAAUAAUUCAAGUGUUUUGGCGACUGAAAACAAUCUAACACCUGGCAAGAGACAGGCAUCCAAGGAGACAUGAUGGGAUAACAGUAGGCUAGUGGGUUGUUAUAUACUUGUAUGUUCUUCGUAAGGCUGAAGACAUGCAACAACCCGAAGGAUGCAAGUUAUCAUGAAAUAAAAAUCCAUCCAGCAGAUGUAUGUGGCCGAUGCUUGAUUCAUUUCAUUGAACCAGUCUCAGCAGCAUCCAUUGGGAACAAUUUGUUGUCUUAAGUCUCAAGGUAUAUGCUACCUGAAUCAUGCUAGUUAUCUUCUAAAAAUAAUCUGCCCCGCAUGUUAGGCGAUGCUAGAUUCAUCUCAUCGAAUCUGUUUCAGCAGCAUUUUUUGCCAACAAUUAUAUUUCACUCUGAGUAUCAGUAUGCACUUUGAGUUUAGUUU